UAGGGAAUCUUCCACAAUGGGCGCAAGCCUGAUGGAGCAACACCGCGUGAGUGAAGAAGGGUUUCGGCUCGUAAAGCUCUGUUGUUAGAGAAGAACGUGCGUGAGAGCAACUGUUCACGCAGUGACGGUAUCUAACCAGAAAGUCACGGCUAACUACGUGCCAGCAGCCGCGGUAAUACGUAGGUGGCAAGCGUUAUCCGGAUUUAUUGGGCGUAAAGAGAGUGCAGGCGGUUUUCUAAGUCUGAUGUGAAAGCCUUCGGCUUAACCGGAGAAGUGCAUCGGAAACUGGAUAACUUGAGUGCAGAAGAGGGUAGUGGAACUCCAUGUGUAGCGGUGGAAUGCGUAGAUAUAUGGAAGAACACCAGUGGCGAAGGCGGCUACCUGGUCUGCAACUGACGCUGAGACUCGAAAGCAUGGGUAGCGAACAGGAUUAGAUACCCUGGUAGUCCAUGCCGUAAACGAUGAGUGCUAGGUGUUGGAGGGUUUCCGCCCUUCAGUGCCGGAGCUAACGCAUUAAGCACUCCGCCUGGGGAGUACGACCGCAAGGUUG
rnacentral:rRNA from 1 species